rnacentral:rRNA from 1 species
UCGCCUGUUUAUCAAAAACAUAUCUUAAAGAUGUAUUUUAAGUGGUCCCUGCCCGGUGAAGGUAAACGGCCGCAGGAUAUUUACUGUGCUAAGGUAGCAUAAUCAAUAGGCCUUUAAUUGGGGUCGAGUAUGAAUGGGAUAAAUGGGCUUCAUCUUUAUUUGACAAAUAUAUAGAAAUUACUUACCUGGUGAAAAUUCCAGUGAUUUUGAAAAAAGACGAGAAGACCCUGGGAAUUUUGAUAGUUAAUUUUUGUUGGGGCAACACGGAAGUAAACAAAUUAGAAUUUUAAUUAAGUCUGUGAAAGUAUAAAUAAAUUACCCCAGGGAUAACAGCAUAAUGUAUUAUAUGUUUGUGACCUCGAUGUUGGACUAGGAGAGAACUGUGAUUAGCCAUUUAGUUUCUUUGCUCUGUUCGAGCAUUUAACUCCUACGUGAUCUGAGUUCCAGACCGGA